CAGUGCCAGCGAGUGUCUCCUCGUGAACGUGCUCCAACUGAAGAACUUUGCCGGGCUGGUGGUGAAGGAAGACUGCAAAAUGGCAUUGCUCAGAUUAACUUGGCUGAUUACGAUGGUUCGAGCGAGAUGCAGCUGCGCUGGUACUCGGUGCAGGUGUUCACCGGCCCCGAGCCGCCCGGGCGGGAGGACGAGCGGCUGGGACACAGCGACUUCCGGGACCCUGCACCCACCACGUCUGGAAAGACAGACGCGGUGAUGGUGCUGCUGGCGAGAGCCACGGCCCAGCU